AGGGUGGCUCCAGAUGAAGGCAGGACGAGAAGAAAGUUUAUCAAUUAGAUUGUCGGUGUGAAGUUAGUACCGGGACCCGGAGCAGGAUGUCGGUGCCGGUGAAGGUUCACCUGUUGGGGAAAGACGGCUCAGUGAUGGAGGUCCGGAGGUUUGAUCUCUCUCCGGCAUAUUACCACCGCAACUUGGAAUCUGUUAACACCAUGAUCACAAAGCUGUUUAAUCUGAAAGGAAUUUUAAAGCUCUUCUACAAAGAUGAAGAUGGAGACAUGGUGGCGUUUUCCUCUGAUGAUGAACUGGCCACAGCUCUGAAAUACAUAAAGGACAACACCUUCCGCGUCUUCAUCAAAAGUUCCUGAACAACGCAGGACUUUCUGAUGACCUUUGACCUCUGAGAACAUCUGCUGGAAACCUGAACACAAAGCCGCCCUGUGUUACACACACACACACACACACACACACACACACAGACAUACACACACACACACACACACACACACUAACUCACUCACACACUCACACACACACACACACACACACACACACACACACACACAUACACACAUACACACACACACACACAUACACACACUUCACUGGUUUCCAUGGAAACAACAGAUUAGUGUUCUUCAGGCCUCAAUCUUGUUUUAAACUUUUAUUUUGAAAAAUAACAAUAAAGCUGCACAGCUUUUAUUUUUUCAGUAUGUUUUAUUGUUCAUUGUUGGGGGGGGUGUAUGUUCUGUGUUACACUGUUAUUAUAAUGCUAACAGACUGAUGCUAAUGCUAACAGACUGAUGCUACUGCUAACAGACUGAUGCUAAUGCUAACAGACUUAUGCUAAUGCUAACAGACUGAUGCUAACAGACUGAUGCUACUGCUAACAGACUGAUGCUAAUGCUAACAGACUGAGGUUAAUGCUUACAGACUGAUGCUACUGCCAACAGACUGAUGCUACUGCUAACAGACUGAUGCUAAUGCUAACAGACUUAUGCUAAUGCUAACAGACUGAUGCUAACAGACUGAUGCUACUGUUAACAGACUGAUGCUAAUGCUAACAGACUUAUGCUAAUGCUAACAGACUGAUGCUAACAGACUGAUGCUACUGUUAACAGACUGAUGCUAAUGCUAACAGACUGAGGUUAAUGCUUACAGACUGAUGCUACUGCCAACAGACUGAUGCUACUGCUAACAGACUGAUGCUACUGCUAACAGACUGAUGCUAAUGCUAACAGACUUAUGCUAAUGCUAACAGACUGAUGCUAACAGACUGAUGCUACUGCUAACAGACUGAUGCUAAUGCUAACAGACUGAGGUUAAUGCUUACAGACUGAUGCUACUGCCAACAGACUGAUGCUAAUGCUAACAGACUGAUGCUACUGCUAACAGACUGAUGCUAACAGACUGAUGCUACUGCUAACAGACUGAUGCUAAUGCUAACAGACUUAUGCUAAUGCUAACAGACUGAUGCUAACAGACUGAUGCUACUGUUAACAGACUGAUGCUAAUGCUAACAGACUGAUGCUACUGCUAACAGACUGAUGCUAAUGCUAACAGACUGAUGCUAAUGCUAACAGACUUAUGCUAAUGCUAACAGACUGAUGCUACUGCUAACAGACUGAUGCUAAUGCUAACAGACUGAUGCUAAUGCUAACAGACAUUCUGGACCAUGGAGCCAAACUUGCAGAUGUGAUGUCAUAAAGCCGCUCUUAACGAACUCGUGUCACAGUGAACACUGAUGAAGAGGUCGUAUUAACGAACUCCUGUCACAGUGAACACUGAUGAAGAGGUCGUAUUAACGAACUCGUGUCACAGUGAACACUGAUGAAGAGGUCGUAUUAACGAACUCGUGUCACAGUGAACACUGAUGAAGAGGUCGUAUUAACGAACUCGUCUCACAGUGAACACUGAUGAAGAGUUCGUACCCACAGCACUGUACACUGUUGCUACAGUCUCAUUAUGAGUUAAUGAGCCUCAUUAGUUACUUUGUGACAACAGUGCCGAGUCUUGAGCAGAAAGCAGAGCAGUAACCACGGUAACGGUAACGGUAAUCAGAACGGAGUAUUCAGAUAUCAAACUGUGAGAUAUGAUUGUGUAAUAAUGAACGUGUGAAUAAUCACCAUCAACGUUACCAAACAAACAGAACGCAACGACCCGCGGUUACUCGUUCUCCGGGCGGCUGUGGCUCAGAGGCAGAGCGGGUCGUUCCUUAAUCGGAAGGUUGUGGGUUCGAUCCCCGGCUCCUGGUGCCACAGGACGAAGUAUCCUUGAGCAAGAUACUGAACCCCAAAUUGCUCCCGAUGUGAGUGAGUGUGUAUGAAUGAGUUAGUUUCUGUUCGAUGGACUUUACCAGUGAAUGUGUCUGUAGUGUAAAAGCACUUUGAGUGGUCGAACACUAGAGAGGAAACUAUACAAGUACAGCUCCAUUUACCAUUUCCAACACGGAUGUGACGUCGCUCUCGAGCUGAAAUGAAGGCGGCAUCAGUUCGUCAUGUCUCGGCGGCAGGGGGUCAGAGGUCGUGGAGCUGGUGAGGUCACAACAGCAGCUGAGCUGUGACCUUUGACCUCCAUCAGAAUCAACAUGUCUGCUGCUUGUUCAGCUUUUCCUCCUUUCAGAGGUUUUAUGGUGGAAAAGGUCUCAGAGGGUUAGAGGAAGAAUCCAGGUCACACACAGCUGUUAGCGGUUAGCUGCUAGCUGUAAUAUAUGUAUAAGUUCAGGUAGUUCAAGCAGUUUGUUGUUGCAGAGCUUCGGUACCGGCCGAGGUCUCGGAGCAGAUUUCUGACAAACUGUAUCUUGUUGCUCGUCAGGGUGAUGAAUUAAUGUUCUAGCAGACUGUGUUUGGGUCCCAUCAGCAGCAGAGGGUCAGCACUCAGAUGUCGGAGCUUCCUGGGACUACCUGAAAGCACCACAGCCUGAAUCACCCAAACUGAGACACUGAAGGCGGAGAGUUUGAGAUCCCCCGAAAAACCCAGAAUUAUUGAUCCAGAACUGAUGAAGGUGGUAUUUCAGUUACGUAAUCAGGAAACAAAAAAGGUAGAUGUAAUCCAUUACAGUUACAGAAAAAACACAUAAUCAGAUUACAGUUAAAUUUAGCAGAUUACAAAUUUAAAAUUCACAAAUCCUAAAUAAACAAAGUAAUCAAGUUACUUUAAUAUGGUGAUACUUGGUCACUGACUACAUUUCCUAACAGGUAAUUAGUAACUGUAAUCUGAUUACAUCACUAUAUAUACAGUAUUAUAUAUUAUAUACAGACUGAACAUAAAGACCAGUCUGCUGCUCUGUAACACCACAGUGUGAGACAGGUCACACAGACAGACAGACAGGUCACACAGACAGACAGUGGUGAUGAAGAGGAGGGAGAACUUCAGUAUAAACAGAAUGUGAGCCGUGAUGAGUUCACUGACGUCUGUGUUUGAAGAUGUUGAACAUGGCUUGAAUCACUUUAUUUAUUUAUUUAAGAGGAUCUCCAUUAGCUGAAUGCCAGAGGCAGCAGGUCGUCCUCCUGCAGCCUGAAUCAUUCUUCACAUAUUCAUCAGACACACAACAUUCACACCGUUCACACCGUUCACAUGGUUCACAAUGUUCACAUCGUUCUCACGUGCAGCUCUGGUUGUAACAUUAAAAACUUUAUCCUUUCAUUGGAGAGACCUCAGCAACUGAUUUUUAUGAAUUUAAUUCAGUUCAAUUAAAUUUUAUUUUACAGAGACCCAACAGUUCCACCAUGAGCAAGACCUUGGAGACAGGGGCAAGGAAAAACUGCCUGUUAAAAGGCAGAAACCUAGGACAGAUCCUUCGGCUCUAGGUGGGUGGUCGUCUGUCUCGACCAGUUGGGGUGAGAGAGAGAGAGAGAGAGAGAGAGACAGAGAGAGAGAAAUUUUCCAAUUUGUACUAGAACCAAUAAUUCUAUAUGCCAGCGAAAUUUGGGGACCAAAACUAAAUAAUGAAUUUGACAAAUGGGACAAAACAAUCAUAGAAUCUUUCCACAGCGAGUUCUGUAAGAGCAUCCUGCAGGUGUAGAGAAAAACACCAAAUAAUCUGUGCAGAGCAGAGCUCGGCCAAUACCCCCUCCUACUAAAAAUACAGAAAAGAUCAAUUAAAAUUUACAAUCACUUAAAAUCAGUUAACCCCCAGACAUACCAUCACAAAGCCCUAACAUACCAGGAGCUGAAACCAGAGAAGAGUCCCCUCAGCCAGCUGGUCCUGAGGCUCUCUGCAGUAACAUGUCCCCAACAGCCUCAGGACAGCAACACCAACUCAAUCAGACCAAACCAAAUUAUCAACAAGCAAAAAGAAAAAUAUAUUGAAUACUGGAAAGAAACGACCAAAACACAAAGUAAAUUACAAUGUUAUCUGACCUUAAAAAGAGAAUUCACUCUGGCAAAUUACCUGAGCACAAUAAAAUGUCCUGAACUAAGAAAAAUGUUGACAGUGUACAGACUGAGUGAACACAGCCUGGCCAUAGAAAAGGGUCGCCACAGACAGAACUGGCUACCAGAAGAGGAGAGACUCUGCUCCCAGUGUGACAGAGGACAGGUAGAGACAGAGCUGCACUUUCUAACCUCAUGCCCUAAAUUCAAAACUUUAAGAGAAAAACAAUUUGCAAAUAUUUCCCAAAUAUACCCCGAUUUAGAAUUAUUAUCAGACACACAGAAACUCCCCUAUUUACUGGGAGAAAUGCCAAAAAGUCAAAUUAUUGCAGCAAAAUAUGUCUCCUCAUGCCACGAACUGAGGACAACCAGUGGAAACUCUGUAAAUGUAUAAAAUAAUUGAUUGUUUAGUUGUUGUUUUUUUUUGUUGUUUUUUAAUAUAUAUAUAUAUAUAUAUAUAUAUAUAUAUAUAUAUACACACACGUUUACAGUUUUAUCUAUCUAUUUUAUUUUAAUAUAUUUUAAUAUUAUAUAUAUUAUAUAUUAUAUUUGAUCAUUUGUUAUUACUGUUAUAUUGACAACAGACUACUUGUUUUAACUGUAGUUACUUUACUACUGUUUUAAUGACAUUUUUAGUUGACACAAACUGAUUGAUUGAUUGAUUGAUUGUAAUUAAUUACUUAUUGACUGAGAUUGAUUGAUUGUGACUGUGAUUGUGAUUGAGUCAAUCAUAGUUAGAGUAUUACCAACAGUAUAGAUUAUAAUUAAUUUAUUGUAAAUAUUGUUUUCCUUUAUUAUUAUUAUUAUUAUUAUUACUAUAGACCGGUGGCUCUGACGUCCCACAUUAUAAAGACCCUGGAGAGGCUCGUCCUGGAGCAGCUAAGGCCUAUGGUCAGGCCCUUCACCGAUCAACUGCAGUUCGCCUACCAGCCCCGCCUGGGAGCUGAGGACAGCAUCAUCUACCUGCUGAACAGAGUCUACACUCAUCUGGAUAAGCCGGCGAGCACUGUGAGAGUCAUGUUCUUUGAUUUCUCCAAUGCUUUCAAUACCAUCCGUCCGGCUCUACUGGGUGAGAAGAUGGCUGUGAUGCAGGUGGAGGCCCCCAUCGUGUCCUGGAUUGUUGAUUACCUGACGGGCAGACCACAGUACGUAUGCCUACAGACCUGUGUGUCUGACAGGGUGGUCAGCAACACUGGGGCCCCACAGGGGACUGUCCUCUCUCCCUUUCUCUUCACCCUCUUCACCUCAGACUUCAACUAUUGCACCGAGUCCUGCCACCUUCAGAAGUUUUCUGAUGACUCAGCAAUAGUUGGCUGCAUAGAUAAUGGUGAUGACAGUGAAUACAGGACUGUGGUGGGCAACUUUGUCACUUGGACUGAGCUGAACCAUCUACAGGGGUGUACUUUAAUAAUAAGCUGGACUGGACUAGAAACGCUGAGGCGGUCUACAAAAAGGGCCAAAGCCGACUCUUUUUCCUAAGGAGGCUGAGGUCCUUUAACAUCUGCCGGAGGAUGCUGAGGAUGUUCUAUGAGUCUGUUGUGGCUAGUACGAUCUUCUUCGCUGUCCCAUGCUGGGGCAGUGGGCUGAGGGUCACUGAUAACAACAGACUAAACAAACUGAUCAGGAGGGCCGGUGAUGUCGUAGGGGAGGAGCUGGACACCCUGACGACCGUGGCAGAGAGGAGGAUGCUGUCCAGGCUUCAGUCCAUCUUGGACAAUGUCUCUCACCCUCUCUAGGACACACUGGCCCAGCAGAGGAGCACCUUCAGCAGAAGACUCCUCUCACCCAGAUGCACUACAGAGCGCCACAGGAAAUCAUUCCUGCCUGUGGUCAUCAAUCUCUACAACGCCUCCCUCAGAGAGUCAGACACCCCCCCUCUGUAAUUCUGAACUCAAAACGUAGACAAUUAUUCUUUUGCACUUUUGCAUAUUAAUACUGUACAUUUGAUCUUGUAUAUAUAUAUAUAGUUAUAUAUAUAUAUUUAUAUUUUUUGUGCUGAAUGUUGUUUAUAUAUAUGUUGUUUGUAUAAUAUUUUGUUUGUAUAUCUGGAGUGUUGUUUAACGAAAAUAAUUUCCCCCUGGGAUUAUUAAAGUAUUUCUGAUUCUGAUUAUUAUUAUUAUUAUUAUUAUUAUUAUUAUUAUUAUUAUUUUUAAUUCCAAACGCUUGCUUUGGCAAUAUGUACAGUGUUACGUCAUGCCAAUAAAGCCAUUUGAAUUGAA